rnacentral:tRNA from 1 species
UUUCUGAUGGCUCAAAUGGUAAAGAAUCUGCCUACAAUGCAGGAGACCUGGGUUUGACCCCAGGUUAGGAAG